UCGGGAAUUUUGGGCAAUGGGGGGAACCCUGAUCCAGCAAUGCCGCGUGUGUGAAGAAGGUCUUCGGAUUGUAAAGCACUUUAAGUUGGGAGGAAGGGCAGUAAGUUAAUACCUUGCUGUUUUGACGUUACCGACAGAAUAAGCACCGGCUAACUCUGUGCCAGCAGCCGCGGUAAUACAGAGGGUGCAAGCGUUAAUCGGAAUUACUGGGCGUAAAGCGCGCGUAGGUGGUUUGUUAAGUUGGAUGUGAAAGCCCCGGGCUCAACCUGGGAACUGCAUCCAAAACUGGCAAGCUAGAGUACGGUAGAGGGUGGUGGAAUUUCCUGUGUAGCGGUGAAAUGCGUAGAUAUAGGAAGGAACACCAGUGGCGAAGGCGACCACCUGGACUGAUACUGACACUGAGGUGCGAAAGCGUGGGGAGCAAACAGGAUUAGAUACCCAAGUAGUCCCUGAGCGGGCUGGCAAGGCGCAU
rnacentral:rRNA from 1 species